rnacentral:rRNA from 1 species
AGAGUUUGAUCCUGGCUCAGGAUGAAUGCUGGCGAUGUGGAUAAGGCAUGCAAGUCGAGCGGCUCGCAAGAGCAGCGGCGUAAGGGUUAGUAACGCGUAGAUAUCAACCCUCUACUCAGGCACAACUUGGAGAAAUCCAAGCUAAUUCCUGAUGGUCCGAGAAAUCGGUAAAGGUUUAUUCCGGUAGAGGAUGAGUCUGCGUCCUAUCAGCUAGUUGGUGAGGUAAUGGCUCACCAAGGCAAUGACGGGUAGGCGGAGUGAGAGCUUGUCCGCCAACAAUGGCACUGAGACACGGGCCAUACUCCUACGGGAGGCAGCAGUCGAGAAUAUUGCGCAAUGGGCGAAAGCCUGACGCAGCGACAUCGCGUGAAGGAUGAAGAUCUUCGGUUUGUAAACUUCUUUUCUAUGGGAAAAAUUUUCUGAUGGUACCAUAGGAAUAAGGGAUGACUAAACUCGUGCCAGCAGUAGCGGUAAUACGAGUGUCCCGAGCAUUAUCCGGAUUUACUGGGCGUAAAGGGUUCGUAAGUGGUUUAUUAAGUUUCUCGUUAAAUCUCUAGAGCUUAACCUUAGAGCUGCGAGGAAAACUGAUAAACUAGAGGAUGUUAGAGGCUGAUGGAACACUUGGUGGAGGGGUGAAAUCCGUUGAUAUCAAGUGGAACACCGAAAGCGAAGGCAAUCAGCUGGGGCAGUCCUGACACUGAGGAACGAAAGCGUGGGGAGAGAAAAGGAUUAGAUACCCUGGUAGUC